rnacentral:rRNA from 1 species
CCUACGGGGGGCUGCAGUGAGGAAUAUUGGUCAAUGGACGAGAGUCUGAACCAGCCAAGUAGCGUGAAGGAUGACUGCCCUAUGGGUUGUAAACUUCUUUUAUAAAGGAAUAAAACGAGGCACGUGUGCCUUUUUGCAUGUACUUUAUGAAUAAGGAUCGGCUAACUCCGUGCCAGCAGCCGCGGUAAUCCGGAGGAUCCGAGCGUUAUCCGGAUUUAUUGGGUUUAAAGGGAGCGUAGAUGGGUUGUUAAGUCAGUUGUGAAAGUUUGCGGCUCAACCGUAAAAUUGCAAUUGAUACUGGAAGUCUUGAGUAAGGUGAAGUAGGGCGGAUGUGGGGG